rnacentral:rRNA from 1 species
CAUUGGAACAUGGGCGGCAGCCUGAGCAGCGAUGCCGCGUGAGUGACGAAGGCCUUAGGGUUGUAAAGCUCUUUUGGCGGGGAAUAUAAUGACGGUACCCGAUGAAUAAACUCCGGCUAACUUCGUGCCACCAGCCGCGGUAAUACGAAGGGAGCUACCGUUGUUCGGAAUCACUGGGCGUAAAGCGCACGUAGGCGGAUGUGUUAUUCAUGGGUGAAAUCCCGGAGCUCAUCUUCGGAACUGCCCUUGAUACAACUCGCCUCCUGUCCGAGAGAGGUGACUGGAAUUCCUACUGUAGAGGUGAAAUUCUUAGAUAUUAUGAAGAACACCAGUGGCGAAGGCGGCUCAUUGGCUCGCUACUGACGCUGAUGUGCCAAAG